UCUUCCGUAGUAUAGUGGUUAGUAUAUGAGCUUGUCACUUCAAACGCAGCAACGCUCGGGACCCGGGUUCAAUUCCCGGCGGGAGAG